rnacentral:rRNA from 1 species
UACGUAGGGUGCGAGCGUUUGUCCGGAAUUACUGGGCGUAAAGAGCUCGUAGGCGGUCUGUCGCGUCGGCUGUGAAAAACCCGAGGCUCAACCUCGGGCCUGCAGUCGAUACGGGCAAACUAGAGUACUGCAGGGGAGACUGGAAUUCCUGGUGUAGCGGUGAAAUGCGCAGAUAUCAGGAGGAACACCGGUGGGCGAAGGCGGGUCUCUUGGGCAGUAACUGACGCUGGAGGAGCGAAAGCCGUGGGGAGCAACAGG